UCGGCUGCGCGCGCAGACCCUGCGCUUGGCAGUGGCUGCUCUGGGCUCCUUGUCACCAGGACAACCGGCCCCGCCGCACCGCGUUUGCCAUGGUUUUCUCAAACAGUGAUGAAGCCCCCAUUAACAAAAAGUUACCCAAAGAACUUCUGUUAAGAAUAUUUUCCUUCUUGGAUAUUGUCACUUUGUGCCGAUGUGCGCAAGUUUCCAAGGCAUGGAAUGUCUUGGCUCUGGAUGGAAGUAACUGGCAAAGAAUAGAUCUUUUUAACUUUCAGACAGAUAUAGAGGGUCGUGUGGUGGAAAAUAUUUCCAAAAGGUGUGGUGGAUUCCUGAGACAGCUUAGUUUGAGAGGAUGUCUUGGUGUUGGAGACUCCGCUUUGAAGACAUUUGCACAGAACUGUAGAAACAUUGAACAUUUGAAUCUAAACGGAUGUACAAAAAUUACUGACAGCACGUGUUAUAGCCUUAGCAAAUUCUGUACCAAGCUGAAACAUCUGGAUCUGACAUCCUGUGUAUCUAUUACAAACAGCUCUUUGAAAGGUUUAAGUGAGGGUUGCAGAAAUCUGGAACAUUUGAAUCUUUCCUGGUGUGAUCAGAUUACGAAGGAUGGUAUUGAAGCACUGGUGAAAGGGUGCAGUGGACUAAAAGCACUAUUUCUUAGAGGUUGCACACAGUUGGAAGAUGAAGCACUGAAACACAUUCAAAAUCACUGUCGUGAACUUGUAAUCCUGAACUUGCAGUCAUGCACACAAAUUUCAGAUGAAGGCAUUGUAAAAAUUUGUAGAGGAUGCCACAGACUUCAGUCACUGUGUGUUUCUGGUUGUAGCAACCUUACAGAUGCUUCUCUCACAGCACUUGGUCUAAACUGUCCGAGAUUGAAGAUUUUGGAAGCUGCAAGGUGUUCCCAUCUGACAGAUGCAGGUUUUACACUUUUAGCACGGAAUUGCCACGAACUGGAAAAGAUGGACUUAGAAGAGUGCAUUCUGAUAACAGAUAACACAUUGAUACAACUUUCUGUUCACUGUCCUAAACUGCAAGCAUUGAGCUUAUCUCACUGUGAACUGAUCACAGAUGAUGGGAUUCUGCAUCUGAGCAACAGUACCUGUGGUCAUGAAAGGCUCCAGGUCCUAGAGUUAGACAAUUGUCUUCUUAUCACCGAUGUGACCCUGGAGCACCUAGAGAACUGCCACAGUUUGGAGAGAAUUGAGUUAUAUGACUGUCAGCAAGUCACACGAGCAGGAAUCAAAAGAAUAAGAGCUCAUUUACCUGAUGUGAAAGUUCAUGCCUACUUUGCUCCAGUCACCCCUCCUCCUUCUGUAGGAGGUAGUCGACAGCGACUCUGCAGGUGCUGCAUUAUUCUUUGACAGUAGGAGCAUCAGCAGAAGAAGAAAAAGAUUCCUUUAAUUAUGGAAACAAAAUCAGACUGCAAGUGGCUUGCAGAGUGUCAGUUUCUUAACAGCCCUAGGAGUGAUGUCACAGUCAUCCAAUUUUGUGCUGGUACUGACUCAAGAAAGGUGUUUUUGCAGAGGAGUGGAAGAGAAUGCAGCAGUGUGGAGGAAGGAGAUACGGUCACAUGGAGGAUCUUACUUGAAUACUGAGUGUCUGCACAUGUGCAGAGAGUAGGGCAUGGUAACUCAAAGACCCAGAAACUUCCAGAACAGAGUGGUAGUUACCAGACAUUCUCAGUUGCUGUUCUGAGGCUGUAUAGGAAGUUUUCACUGUGGGCUACUCACUUAGCAGUCAUAUUCUAGUCACCCUCAGAGAGCUGAGCCAACCAGAGAGCAGUGGAUGGAGUGGUUAUAAAUAGAAGUGUUAAAAGUAGCCCCAUAGACUCAACAGGUGAUUAUCUCAUGGUUCUGUGUCAAUCUGCUGUGAGGGCUGGGUCCCAAUCCCUGUACCACCUUGGACACAGGCUGCAGAUUUCUGUUUCCCCACAACUGAGAGCACCUGUCAGCUAUUAACCCAAGGUUUAGAAUGCUGCUAGCUGUGGAGGCCCACAUUGUUUGCUGACAGGGUUCUAAAGUGUUUGAAAGGACUGAAAUGCUGCCAUUUCUCAGGCUCUGAAGAGUCCAGAUGACAUACUGUGGUCACACUACAAAGAGCGAGAAAGCACCUGUUUGAAGAUCAGAGGGGAAUGCGUUUUGAUAGGUGCACUAAUGUACAGAAAACGUCGUAUUAAAACCUUGUAUUUGAAUGUUUCUAACAGAAAUAAAAGGGGGAAGUCUGUAUAAGGAACACCAGCAGAUUUACUGUUUAAUAGCUUUUAUUUAAAAGUUAUUCACAGCAUUCCAAAUACUAUUUACCAUGUUUUAUGCUGUUUACAAGUGUUUUGUGUGCAUUAAAUGUUUGUUUUACUAAGAAAAUGUAUGGUACUCACUCUCUGAAGCUGACUGGGAACUAUUAGCAUCCAUUUAUCAAGGUUUACAUAUAAUAGCCCUGAAGUUUAACUGUCAUGUGUUUCUGAAAAGUCCUUACAAGACAGAACUCUAGUCUGUGCUUCAGCAAAGAGUUAAGCUGAGGUUCAGUAUAGUUAGACACAAUAUUGCAUGAGCAGCCCAUGUACCCCAUUACAUAAACAAGUCAAAAACUGAAGUGUACUAUGAACUGAAAAUUAUUCUAAUUUUGUAUUUCAAUUAACUUUUGUUUAAAAGAAUUAAGCUCUGUACAGUACAAGCCUUACACUUGCAAAACUUAACAUUCAGCAUAUUAUAAACUCCACAUUUGCAAAGAUUAGGAAGUUUGAGAAGUAUGGCUCAUAACAGAGCCCUUUAAUCACUGAAAGCCUUCAGCCUGUAGUUCUACAGGUCCUCCCUUGAGACAGAGAAGACAUGAAAUGCAGGAUUAAAAACAACAACAAGUCUCCUGGGCUUAAAGAGUCUUGACUACAAGAGAAGAAAGAGUAGUGAAGACCUAAUGAAAUCAUUAUGAAAAGGGCUAGGUCCAUUUUUGCCAAAUGUAAGGGAAGUUCUAUCUUUCUCUAGAGACUAAGCUCUGGCUUUCCAGCACUUAAGAGGGAUGCAAACUGGAGAUCUCCUUCCCACAGGACGACACCUGCCUGACAACUAGCAGCAGCAAUAUGCACUUAGCAGGAGGCCACAUCCAAAGAGAGAUUCACUGAGCACGGGGAGAAGAACUCCCUGGGCAUUACCAUACUCUAAAAUACCUAAUUUAGUCAGAAAGGAAAAAGAGGUUCAAAAACGUAAACACUGGAAGUCGAGCCUUGCCAUCUGAAAGAGCUGCCUCCACCUAAUUAGAAAUGUUAACAUGCUUUAUAGGGAGAGACACAUGUUGAGCACUGAUUUUUUUUUUGUUUCCCCUGUAUACAUCUGCUGAUGGACAUCCUGCCCAGCAGCAGAAGAAUGUCUGAGUUGACAAUGGAUACUGCAGAAGAAAUGCAACAGCUUCAACUAAGGAACUAGUUCCUAACAGCAAGUUAGAAAAAGUUUUGGUUAGCACUACUGAUAAGACGGAGUCAGAAGAGAUGGAUUCUUUGCUCAGCGGCCACUGGGCUGCUCCGUGACCUUCAGCAAGACACUUAAGAUCUGUUUUUCUAAGGUGAUGAGUACUCACAGCUACCAACUGACUUCAACUGAAGUUGCAGGUGUUCAGCACUUCUGAAAAAAAUCAAGCUCUCAAAUCUUUGUGCUUCAGCUUCCUCUAUCUGCAAAAUGCAAUAACUCACAGCAAAACACAAAGCUUUAUAUGGGACAGAGUCAAAGUGCUAAUUUCAUACUUUCAGACGUUUAAGUUUCUUGAAGUUUAACUUCAGCUCUGAAUUCCAAAGGGCUUUUGUCUGUUUUUGUUUAAACUACAACAGUCUUAUACUAAAAAACAAAACAAAACAAAAAACCCACAAAAAACCCCACAACAACCAGUAAGUUAUGACGUACUCUCAACAUUAAUUUUAAAUAAACAAUGAUUUUGUCUGGUUUCCUUAUUAUUUUCUUUUUAAAUAAUUAUGACAGCUAUAGGGAGGUAAGAAGGAGAACACCCUGCAGAGCUUCUAAGUAAAAGGGAAGCAGGAGCAAGUGACUCAUGGAAGCCAUCUGGGAAUUAGGUCCAGAGACCUGCAUGACUGAUUGAUCUUCUGGUGCCAGAGAAAGUAUGCAAAGCUCUAUAAACUACCUAUGCUGGGCUCCUGCUGAUGCCUGCUACCUUGCACUUUGUAAAUUCCAAAGCCCUUUAGCUGGCUUAUAAUAGAAAGCAAGUCUUCAAUCUUAACUAUGGAGUAGCUACCUUCUCCCUAAUACUACUCAACUGUGAUUAAAAAAAUUAAGGACAGAUAUUACUAUUUGUUAUUCAGAGCAGACAAUGUACAGUGAUGAUCAAAGUAAUCAAAAUAAAGAAGUCUCUAUCCCGAAGAGACUGAAGCUUGCAAGAUAGAAGAUGGGUUGCAGUGGAAAGCAAAAAGGUGAGGGACAGUUAGGGUUUUUUAAAACUGCCUUCUUAUGGGCCUUGCUAUAUACACACAGAAUGUUCUUCCCUUCUGCCAGCAAGGCAGGUCAGUUGAAGGUAAAAACCUAAUAUGCAGACCAAAAGCAUAUCUGAUUUUCAGAACCACCAUCUUGAUCAUAUUUUGAAGGAAUGCUACCAGGGGAGACUACACAGAUAGAACUGUUUCGCUUAGAAAAAAAAAAGAGACCACUAAAGUGGGAUAUGAUAGCAGUCUAAACAAACAUGAAUAGUGUGGAAAAAGUGAAUAGACAAAUGUUAUUUUUCCUUUCCCACAAUGCAACAGCUUCCAUAACCCUGAUCAUCUUUGUUGCUCUUCUCUGAACCUUUUCCAGUUCCGCUAUAUCCUCUGAGAUGGGGCGACUAGAAAUGGACAGAGUAUGCAACGUGUGCACACCAUGGAUUUGUUUUAUUUAGUUAUUUUGUCAAGUUACUCAGAUUUGAUUUUAUCCAGCCAUGUUAGCUGGAAGGAAAAUACUUAAUUUUCCUUUAAUAUUCCCUGGCUCCCAACCAGACUAAGCUACGGGGAUCUCAACCAGGGGGUUGUGACUGCUUCUACUUUCUUUAUGGUUAGAUUAAGAGGUCUGGGGGAGAAAGGGUUCCAAAUUUUUUUCCUGUUGCAAUGUGGGGUAAGAGUAGAAAAAAAAGUUGAAAUCCACUGGACUAACUUGGCAACCAGCAUCGAUCUCUCAUUACUAUUAUCUAGAGAACAACU